rnacentral:tRNA from 1 species
UACUUUAUUAGUAUAAUGGAGUAUGCUUGCCUUCCAAGUAAGAGGUUUAACGAUUUUAAAUGAAGUAA